GAGCUGUGUGGCGAGGACAGAGCGAACUAUUCUUUCGCCUUUUACUAAAGAAUACCGUGCGCUCGCCACUGUUAGCAGCAGUAAUUUUUUUUUUUUUUUUGGGUAUUUCGGAAG